rnacentral:rRNA from 1 species
CCUACGGGAGGCAGCAGUGAGGAAUAUUGGUCAAUGGGCGAGAGCCUGAACCAGCCAAGUCGCGUGAGGGAGUACUGCCCUAUGGGUUGUAAACCUCUUUUGUCGGGGAGCAAAAGCCGGACGUGUCCGGCUGUGAGAGUACCCGAAGAAAAAGCAUCGGCUAACUCCGUGCCAGCAGCCGCGGUAAUACGGAGGAUGCGAGCGUUAUCCGGAUUUAUUGGGUUUAAAGGGUGCGCAGGCGGAUUUUUAAGUCAGCGGUAAAAUCGUGGGGCUCAACCCCAUCCAGCCGUUGAAACUGGGGAUCUAGAGUGUGCGAGAGGUAUGCGGAAUGCGUGGUGUAGCGGAGAAAUGCAUAGAUAUCACGCAGAACCCCGAUUGCGAAGGCAGCAUACCGGUGCACAACUGACGCUCAGGCACGAAAGCGUGGGUAUCGAACAGGAUUAGAUACCCCAGUAGUC